AUACGGAGGGGGCUAGCGUUGUUCGGAAUUACUGGGCGUAAAGCGUACGUAGGCGGACUGAUCAGUUGGGGGUGAAAUCCCAGGGCUUAACCCUGGAACUGCCUUCAAUACUGUCAGUCUUGAGUUUGGGAGAGGUGAGUGGAAUUCCUAGUGUAGAGGUGAAAUUCAUAGAUAUUAGGAGGAACACCAGUGGCGAAGGCGGCUCACUGGCCCAUUACUGACGCUGAGGUACGAAAGCGUGGGGAGCAAACAGGAUUAGAAACCCCUGUAGUCC
rnacentral:rRNA from 1 species